UCUGCACUCGGCCUUUUGGGGAAGAUCAAGUGUAGUAUCUUUUCUUAUCAGUUUAAUAUCUGAUACGUGCUCUAUCCGUACAAAAUAUUCAGUGGAUUUUUGGAGCAGAAGACCUUCC
rnacentral:snRNA from 1 species